AAAGGUUCCUGCCCAGGACUGCCUGCAGGGGGGACUGCUGCAAAUUAUUGGAGGAGCCAGAAAGACUUCGCAGCUCCUGGACGGAGGAAGCAUUGAUAGAGGGAGUCUCGGAGCUCAAAGGAAACUACCCCAAGCCUUAGUCCUGGACCAGUCGUUGACUGAGUAACUUUAGUUUCCACUAUCUCCUGUUUUCUACAACUGCCAUUGAAUUGUUAACAGCGCACUGUUACAACAGGAGUAGCAAUGAUUUUUUUUUUAAAGCAGCGAGCCGGGGACUUCCAGCUUUGCAGCUUCUGAGAGCGGCCGGAGGCUGGGGAGCCCUGGCGACGGCGGCGAGGGCGCCCGUGGAUUAGGGUGUGGAUUGCAGGACAGACCUUUGUUUGGUCACAUUCUCGACGGGGGUGCGGGGGAGGGUCGUUCUCCUUCGAGAUCGCGCUAGAUUUUUAUAGACUCGCCUUAAAAGAACUCGCC
rnacentral:lncRNA from 1 species